UACAGAGGGUGCAAGCGUUAAUCGGAAUUACUGGGCGUAAAGCGUGCGUAGACGGUUAUGUAAGUCAGAUGUGAAAGCCCCCGGCUCAACUGGGGAGGGUCACUCGAUACUGAUCGACUUGAAGGCAGGAGAGGGAAGCGGAAUUCCCGGUGUAGUGGUGAAAUGCGUAGAUAUCGGGAGGAACACCAGUGGCGAAGGCGGCUUCCUGGCCUGUUCUUGACGCUGAGGCGCGAAAGCUAGGGGAGCAAACGGG
rnacentral:rRNA from 1 species